UGUCGGCACCAAUUUUCACUCUUCUUCGAUAACCUAAGAUUUUCUUUCUCUAUGCACAAAAUCGUUGUCAUAAGGAGCUGAAAGUUCAAUCGAUUGCUUCAUCUGCUCCAAAGAAUAGAUCAAUGUUACACUGUUGUUUGCUACGAAUUCCACCGUUUCAACAUCAGGGCUCAUGAGAACUAAAUCAGCUGUGAAUAGAAGAUUUCAUCACAAAUCGUCCAUAACCCCAAAUCCAAACGAUUCUAUGUAUGGAUCUAAGUUCGAUAUACGUUUUCCUGCUCUACCAUGUUCGAUUCUUAGUGUUGAUGCUAUGGAUAUUAGUGGAGAACUGCUUUGUGACGUGAAACAUGAUAUUAUAAAGAGAAGAUUAGAUUCAAAUGGCAACACUUUAAGAGGCAAGACAUGACGUAAUAGGCGCUACUAAGACCAAAACUGCAGUUUAAGAAUUAGCAAGGAUGGUUCGUUCCAGAGAUGAUAAUCUCUAGUGUUUCACCAGUACUCUGCAUAUACUGGCGCUAGGAGUGCAAGAUUUUGACUUGGACCCUCCAAGAAGUCUUGUAGGGACGCACGUCGUUGAGGAAAGCAAAAGUGCAAGCCAUUUCGUUUAGGAGAUACAAUCGGAAAUAUGAGACUGAAAGAAUGGUGAAUUGGUUUUGGAAUAUAACGUGAAGAAUAUAUAAAUUGAUGAUCGAAUUAAGUUUGAGAUAUUUUAGGAAGAUUUGAAUCCAAUAUGUCGUUUAAGUAUAGUAACUAAUUCUGUAGUUAAAUAUUUGGAGAUUGGUAAGUUUAGAUUUUAUAUGUUGAUUUAAGAUUAUUUAAUUAA